CCGUCGGCAUUAGCUCAAGUGAUUUCAUCCUCAUGCCGGACUUCCUAUCCAUCUGGUCCCUGCGCUGGGGUUGGUUCGAGACCGGUGGGUGCUUUCUGACCCUUUU
rnacentral:vault_RNA from 1 species